GACGUAGGGCGCGAGCGUUGUCCGGAUUUAUUGGGCGUAAAGAGCUCGUAGGCGGCUUGUCGCGUCGACUGUGAAAACCCGAGGCUCAACUUCGGGCUUGCAGUCGAUACGGGCAGGCUAGAGUUCGGCAGGGGAGACUGGAAUUCCUGGUGUAGCGGUGAAAUGCGCAGAUAUCAGGAGGAACACCGGUGGCGAAGGCGGGUCUCUGGGCCGAUACUGACGCUGAGGAGCGAAAGCGUGGGGAGCGAACAGG
rnacentral:rRNA from 1 species